ensembl:lncRNA
GUAAAAAUGAAACUGAUGAUUCUUUGAACCAAAUGAGGUUUCAGACGGUUAAAAGCAGCAGCUGGCAAGUGCACCACAGUGCUACCAGCUGAACACCCAGCAGCUUUCUGAGACAACACACAGCAGAGCAGGUUAUGAAGUAACAGAUGGGUGUCCAUGCGUCUCUGAUUCUUUGAGGUGUGGAUUAGUGGGAGUGUUGAGUCAGGCCCAGGCGAGGGCCCAGGAGGUCAGCCCAGAGAGAGGCCCACGUAAGCAGGCUCCAGUGCUGCUGAAUGGGCCGAUAAUGGCCUGGAUCAGAAGGAAUGUGUUCAUGGAGCCUUGCUACUGACAGCCGGCCCCUGGGGACAAGAAUUACUCUGACUGAUACAAAAAGAAGAUGACAAAAACAGUGCCACAGGCACUGUCUCUCUGGACUCCUUGUCUCCACUACAGCUAAAU